AAACUACCUUAGAAGAACGUACAUAUUUGAGUGAAAAUUAAUCUGUGUCUCCUGAGGUUGGAUGUGGAUUCGGCUCUUCCCAUCUACUUCAUAAAGCCUACAAUUAAAACUGCAUCUCAAUUUUAAAACUCGUUUAUUCUUUGGAAGAAUUUUGAGACUCUACUAAUCAGUAAAUGUAGCGAAAAAAAGUAAGACACCGUUCUGAGAGGGUCAGGCUUGUGCUGAGACCUCCCGCAUCCUGCCUUAGUACUGGUUUCAUCAGCAAAGCUCGGAACGGAGCAGUAAACUCAGAGUGCAGUUUAGUGGGCACAGGAUUACCCGGCUCCCAGAGAAGCAUAAGCCUUUCGCUCUGCCAUCACAGCCUAACAGGGAAAAAAGAUUGAAGAUUGGCUCUCAGCAUGGACGUUAUCUC
rnacentral:lncRNA from 1 species